rnacentral:rRNA from 1 species
AGAAUGUCAAUAAAGGGCGUAUGGUGGAUGCCUUGACUCUAAGAGGCGAUGAAGGACGUGGCUUGGCUGCGAUAUGCUUCGGGGAGGUGCCUAGCAACCUUUGAUCCGGAGAUCUCCGAAUGGGGAAACCUAAUCGCGCACAUCGCGAUUAAUUUGCUCGCAAGAGCGGAUUGCACACUCAGGGAAUUGAAACAUCUUAGUACCUGAAGGAAGAGAGACCAAUUUGAACUUUUUAAUUUACGGGAGCGAUAACCGCCCUCGUAAAUUAAAAAGUUCUCGGAAUUCCCUUAAUAGCGGCGAGCGAAAAGGGAACAGCUCAAACCGACCGCAUCACACGGGGUGUGAUGCGGCUAGGCUUUAGGCUUUAGGCUUUAGGCUUUAGGAAUUUUUUCCUAGCGCCUAGCGCCUAGCGCCUAGUGCCUAGCCGCAUCGUUCUUCGCGCGAUGCGGCCGGUGUUGUGGGGAAACAAUGGGGUUUGUCCCAGAAAGUUACAAAAUAAUUUGAUUAGCAGAAAUCGCUGGAAAGCGAUGCCCAAGAGGGUAAUGGCCCCGUAUGCGAAAAUCAAAUGUCUUUCCGAUUGUUUUACCCGAGUACCUCGAGACACGAAUAGCUCGGGGGAAUCCGGCAGAACUAACUGCCAAAGCUAAAUACUCUUAGAGAUCGAUAGUGAACAAGUACCGUGAGGGAAAGGUGAAAAGAACCCCGAUGAGGGGAGUGAAAUAGACCUGAAACCAUAUGCCUACAAGGAGUCGGAGCGGUGUCUCACUAGUGUUCGACUCCUUUAGUUGAAAAAGUUGAUAAGGUAAUAAGUUGGAUAAGGACACGCACAACUUAUUGAACUUAAGC